UACGUAUGUCGCGAGCGUUAUCCGGAAUUAUUGGGCAUAAAGGGCAUCUAGGCGGCCGGGUAAGUCCGGGGUGAAAACUGCUGGCUCAACCAGCAGCCUGCCUUGGAAACUACCCGGCUGGAGUGCUGGAGAGGUGGACGGAACUGCACGAGUAGAGGUGAAAUUCGUAGAUAUGUGCAGGAAUGCCGAUGAUGAAGAUAGUUCACUGGACGGCAACUGACGCUGAAGUGCGAAAGCUAGGGGAGCGAACAGG
rnacentral:rRNA from 1 species